rnacentral:rRNA from 1 species
UACGGGGGGGGCAAGCGUUGUUCGGAAUUACUGGGCGUAAAGGGCUCGUAGGCGGCCAACUAAGUCAUACGUGAAAUCCCUCGGCUUAACCGGGGAACUGCGUCUGAUACUGGAUGGCUUGAGUUCGGGAGAGGGAUGCGGAAUUCCAGGUGUAGCGGUGAAAUGCGUAGAUAUCAGGAGGAACACCGGUGGCGAAGGCGGCAUCCUGGACCGAUACUGACGCUGAGGAGCGAAAGCCAGGGGAGCAAACGGG